UAGUUAAGCAACGUUGAGCCUGGUCAGUACUUAGAUGGGUGACCACUUGGGAAUACCAGGUGCUGUAA